rnacentral:ncRNA from 1 species
AAUUUGUUUUAUUUUUGUUAUUAAUUUUAUUUAAUGUUUAUUUUACAUGUAAAUUUUUGUAAGAAUUUUAAUUUAUCUAAAAGAUACUUUAUUUAAAAUUUAUUCGCAGUAAUUAAUAUUAUAAAUAAAAGAAAUUUUGAUUUAGUAAUUUAUUUUAGUAUUGGUAAAUUUUGUGCCAGCAACCGCGGUUAUACAAAUAAUGCAAAUAAAAUUUAUUAGUAAUAGUUAAUUUGUUUUUAUAAAAUUAAUUUAAAUUUUUUAAGUGAAAUUUUAAAUUUAAUUAAUUUUAUUUAUUUAUGUUAAUGAAGCUAGGAAAUUUUAAAAAUAAACUAGGAUUAGAUACCCUAUUAUUUAAAAUGUAAAUUUUAAUACUUGAGUAGUAAUAGUUAUGUUCUUCAAACUUAAAGAAUUUGGCGGUGUUUUAGUCUAUUUAGAGGAACCUGUCCUGUAAUCGAUAAUCCACGUUGGACCUUACUAAAAUUUGUUUUCAAUUUGUAUAUCGCCGUUAUCAGAAUAUCUUAAAAGAGCAAUAAUUUUCUUAAUUUAAAAAUAUAAUUGAUGUCAGGUCAAGGUGCAGUUUAUAUUUUAGUAGAGAUGGGUUACAAUAAAUUUAUUUAUACGUUAAAUUAUUUGAAACAAUAAUUAUAAGGUGGAUUUAAAAGUAAAAUAAUGGAUAUAAUUUGUUUGAUUAUAGCUCUAAAACAUGCACACAUCGCCCGUCGCUCUCAUUAUUAAAAUGAGAUAAGUCGUAACAUAGUAGAGGUAUCGGAAGAUGCCUCUAGAAUGAC